UUAAUAAUCUGCAUUCAACUGAUCAGUAAAACCAUAAAAUUCCAUUCAAUGGACCUGGAGAAAACCACAGAGAACGAUCGCACAACACCCGGCCGAGACAAACCUCCAAACACCCUUGCUGCAUGUAGCUAUCGGAACAUAAUCUAAAAUUACGCAGUGAAGCGACCUCAUUAGCAUACUCAUGCACUGGAGGAAAAUGCACUAAUUAUGUUUUACUUUACACUGAUGACUGAGAUGUAUUCACCUGCAAGGACUGCGGCUUUGUGUGUCUGCGUGUUCGGCCAGGGGAAAAGGGAGGGGGGACGUAUACGUAAUAAUCAUUCUCCCUAGAUUAAAUGGAGGCCAUUAGACAGAUAUUAGGGGAACAAUUGGGAGUAUUGGGCCAGGCUGGCCGCUAGCGCUCUUCACUACGAUAAACGAGUGAGUCACGGCUCUGGCUAAUGGUUUAUCAGCCGUGUAGAUAUAGGACCGUAGCGCGGCUGCAGAGGGGAGCGCACCGGGAGGCCUGGCUGCGGAUAUUUUAUCGGCCUACAUGUCUCCGGCGUCUGUUCCCUUCUCUCCCAGCAUUACCGGGAAAAAGUCAUUACCGCUGGAAGCCUUCUCUGGAGAACGAGAUCUAGGAGUUUAUCCUCAAACGCAGAAUAACACCAUGCUGUGUCAGCAGUCUGGUCUGAAACAUGUCAUGAAUCAGAGGGGACGGAGAUGUUGUCCAACCUAUAGAAGGACAACAGAGAGGGAGAAAAUGAAAGAGAAAGAGAGGGCAUCGUGCUGCUCGCAAACUGACAAUUCCAGCGACUCUGUCAGACAGCAGUUGACUGCUACUCUGCUAUUCCUGUU